CUUCAGUUCUCUGUAAUGAAGGAUUUAGAGAAUCCAUUCCUGGACUAAGAGUCUUUGCUUGCCUUAGUCCAGGAAUGAAUCUCCAAUGAGACAGAUGCUAAGCUACCAAUUAGUCCCUGAUAACCCUGUCCAAAUGCAUUAGAUCUGAUAUCUAGGGCCAGUUCAGAUCCAUUAAAGAGAUGAAAAGCCUCUUCCUUGGCCAGCUCAUCUGCAAUUGUAUUGUUUUCAGUCCUUUUAUAUUCUGUCCCCAAACAGGUUGAAUGAACCCUGUUCCUGGUAGCAAGUUCCACAAUGAGAUGAUGGCAUUUUCAUAUAAAUUAUGAAAUAAACAGUAGCUAUCAAGUGCUUUUAAUACAGCUUGUGUUAAAAACACAAUAGAAUAUAAAUAUUAACAUAUUUCUAUCAAGACUGGUUUUAGUACAUGCAGAAAUUGCAUAGAUUUCUGCAUGAAAGACAGAGAAAACUCUCCAAGGGAAUAAGAAUAAGACAUCCUCAUUCCUUCACAAUAAAUUCUUACCUUAUGUCAUUAUAGAUUUUGCAAUUAUCUGUAUAUCAGAUCAGUCCAUCUUUGAUACUCUCCUAAAAAUAACAGAUAACGAUCUGAAAAAGUUGAAUCUGGCUACAUCUUGGUCUGUUAUUUUUAGGAGAGUCAGCAAGUCAUUAUAGAUUUUGCAAUUAUCUGUAUAUCAGAUCAGUCCAUCUUUGAUACUCUCCUAAAAAUAACAGAUAACGAUCUGAAAAAGUUGAAUCUGGGUACAUCUUGGUCUGUAACCAUUUUAAAAAUGUGACUGUAUGUCUUUCCCAUUCAAAAAAUAAAUGCUCCACUUUGUGAAUCCAAGAAAUUGGACCUACAAUGUGGAGCACUUUCACAACAAUGAAGCCUAUAAUAGCUUUCCUGGACAUUAGUCUCAACAAAUAUAUGUAAGAGGGAAAUGUCCAAAAGGAUUUCAAGAGCAACAGUAGGAGCAAUCCUCAAUAACUCCUGUAAUGCUCAGCAAGCCAUCCCUGAGCAUCACAGGAACUCCCCAAGUUCAAUCCUGCAUAUUUUUAAUAGAACUUUCACUCCAAAUGAUUUGCAACAUAGAAAAUAAUGGGAAAUUUUGUCUUACAAAUGAAUAUUUAUUUCAUCAAUUUGAAUAUAAGGAGAUUCCUACUUUUUAUUGUUACGUCCAGAAAUUUCUGCUAUCUUUCCCAUAAUUUUAUAUUGGGUUUUUUCCUCUAUGAUGCAUAACUUCUCUAAAAUCUAG
rnacentral:lncRNA from 1 species